rnacentral:lncRNA from 1 species
CAUGUUUGUGUUUUUCUAUGGAACAGUGUUUUUAUUAAACACUCGGACAGGAUGGACCUGACGUCACACGCCGUUUCUGAUUAUGUUACAAGAGGCGGGGCUUGGAAAGAUGAGAACCAAUCUGGAAGCAUCACACGCCAGCCAACAGCCAAUAGGACACCAGCAAAUAUCAGUUCAGAUGUUGCUAUGGAAGCUCCGCCCCCUCUGAGGUCAGAAGAUGCAGACAGCAGCAACGACUCUUUGAUUGACAGCUCGUCCCGACUCCUGCCUGCCCUCAGUCAGCUGACCUCUGACCUCGGAGUGGAUGGUUCAGCUGAGUCUCCGCCCCCAAGCGAUAUAAACCAUGGACAGAAGGCCAAUCAGAAGCGGUUACACUCGACUAAACGCAAAACUAACUCCGCCC